UAUUAGAGAGGGAUAUUUCUCUCUCUCUCUCACUCCCUCAGCCUCUUUCUCUCUCUCCCUCUCUCUGAUCGUGCGAAGCAGGGAAAGAAGGAAAAAGGGAAAGAAAGAAAGGAGAGAAAGGAAAAGAGAGGAGAAAAAGAAGGAGAAGAUGGAGGAGAUGCAGGAGAUCGUCGCCAUCGUCAUCCUCUUCGUCUUCUUCUUCUCCUUGGAG
rnacentral:lncRNA from 1 species